CCAUGAAAGUACACAACCACCUUAAGAUCCCUGCACAAGGGCACUGGCAUCUGAGCUUUACUCCUUUGCAUUUCUCCCUCACAGAAGAUUUGGGAUCAUGCCAAAGACCAUCUAGACUAUAGUCACUCUGGCACUUGGAUCAAGUAAAACACUCAGUAUCUCCCCCAGAAACCUCUGUUGGCACUCCAAGGAAAACCGUCUGCAACACCCUAGGUCAGGAUGUUACUGUAUGUUGGACACAGAACGGCCAUGUAGGAGUUACUCUUCAGAGUCUAGGAAUAUCCCUUGUCAACACAAACUACAGGUUAAGGGCAAUAAGCUAAAGAGACAAGAAUACAAGAAGAAUACAAGGAAUAUUCUAUCAAAAGGGCGCUCACCACAAAAUCAGAACAGAACAAUCCUAUCCAGAAAAAACUAUAUAUAUAUACACACAUAUAUAUAUAAACACAUUGUAAAUAUUGAAACUGGUAGAGCUGAAGUAGAAGAAUUAGUGCCAGAAUUCAAGGGGUUAUUCAUCUCUGCCAUGGUGAAAUCAAUUUCUGCUCAUGUUCUCAGUGUUUAG
rnacentral:lncRNA from 1 species